rnacentral:rRNA from 1 species
AUUCCAGCUCCAAUAGCGUAUAUUAAAGUUGUUGCAGUUAAAAAGCUCGUAGUUGGAUUUCUGGUUUGAUGCCCUGGCCCGCUGCUAUUUUGGUAGUGUGUGCCGGUUGUGCGUCUGCCAUCCUUCUAGGGAACGUUCCUUCUCUUCACUGAGCCGGGUUCGUGAUCUAGAUCGUUUACUUUGAAAAAAUUAGAGUGUUUAAAGCAGGCUUUUGCUAUGAAUACAUUAGCAUGGAAUAAUAAUCUAGGACUUCGGUCAUAUUUUGUUGGUUUCUGUAACUGAAGUAAUGAUUGAUAGGGAUAGUUGGGGGCAUUAGUAUUUAAUUGUCAGAGGUGGAAUUCUCAGAUUUGUUAAAGACUAACUUAUGCGAAAGCAUUUGCCAAGGAUGUUUUCAUCG